AUCGCUUCUUGGCCUUUUGGCUAAGAUCAAGUGUAGAAGAUGAGAUUUGUGGUCUCAAUUCUGGAAAAAGGUAGGAAAUCUAUUUUAGGUAUAUUCCAAGUUGUCCAUGACUUUACUAAUUUUUGCCUGAGUCCGACAGCUAAC
rnacentral:snRNA from 1 species